rnacentral:rRNA from 1 species
CACGUAGGGGGGCAAGCGUUUGUCCGGAUUUAUUGGGCGUAAAGAGCUCGUAGGCUGUUCGAUAAGUCGGGUGUGAAACCUCCAGGCUCAACCUGGAGACGCCACCCGAUACUGUCAUGACUAGAGUCCGGUAGGGGAGCGUGGAAUUCCUGGUGUAGCGGUGAAAUGCGCAGAUAUCAGGAGGAACACCAGCGGCGAAGGCGGCGCUCGUGGGCCGGUACUGACGCUGAGGAGCGAAAGCGUGGGGAGCAAACAGG